UUCAUUGUCGUUUAAAAGAGAUAGUGAAUUGCUACAAACAAAAGUGUAUAUCUUCUUUUUAUCAAAAAGAGUCUGUAUGGA